GGCUGUAUUACUGAGCAGUGUCUCUGCCAUGCUAGUACAUCUUCAUCUCUAACCUUCACAGCACUGUCCUAUUUAGCAUAGGACUUACCCGAAUUUUGUGGAAGAUCACUUCUUUCUUUUGAGUUGUUACUGAUUUUGUUUGGUUGGGAUUUUCUUCGGUUGUUUUUGAAACAAAUUUUCUGUAGCCCAGUCUGGCCUGGAACUCAACUAUAUACCUAAAGAUGACCUUGAACUCCUGAGUCUCCUACAUGCUGGGGAUACAGGUGUAUGUCAUGCCGUCUUUACUGGGCAUUCUGAGGCAUUCAUUCCACCAUAAUGUGUGAUAAUGAAGGUGGCAUUCAAAUCCAUUCUUUCUUUGCUCACCACUUGCUCCUACUUUCAAAGCUCUCAUCUUCUGCUUCUUAAGCAGGGCCGAUUGUGGUUUCUUUUUAAGAAAUAAUCUUCCAACAUCAAUGACAUCCAAAGGCCUCUGGAAAGAAAGGGGGGACAGGGGAGGAAUGCAGAGCUCAGCUUUGAGGCAGCACAGAAACUCAGCCUGAAGGGCCGUGAGGGUGGGGAAGCGUUUGAAGUCAUUUGAGAGCACCCUGGCUCCCCUUGGCAGGUCACUCCAUUCUUUCCAUUCGAUUUAGUACUUUGUGUUCACUACAAUUUAUAAGUUCUUAAGCAAAUGUAGAGGGAGGAAAAGCUAAUGUUCCUGAUCAUACAGUCCAUCAGAAUGACAGCCCAGCUACACUUACCCUGUGGUGAGAGCAAGAAAGAGUUGCUCCCAAAAGAAGUUCUGCAUGAAGAAAGGAAAUCACAGAGACCAGGACCCGGUGCUUUUUCUACAGAGAUCAGUCACGAACCGGUUUGCAACAUGGGUGCCUGGCACAGCCACAGUAACAUGAUCUGUGACUGAAAUGGCUGCCAAAUAGCCCUUGUAGGGGCUGUUGGCCUGCUAGAGAGGACAAGCUUCAGAGCGAAGCCACAUAACGGGGCUGCAAGCAUUGCCAAUAGAAAGCAGAGCUGGUUUUCAUUAUCUCUCUGUUUCCCCAUCAAACAGAUUCACCCGUUUUUUAACGGUCAUAAUUCCAUUUGGAAUUGUGUUUGGCAAGCCUAUCCAAACCAUGCCUUGGUGAUUUCUCAUCUUUGGCGGUCUUCUUUUCAGGUUUAGGCACAUCCCAUGUGUAUAGUCAUCUAGUCUUGAGAUCUAGAGGGUUCUCCUCUCUGUCCCAGGCAAAAGGAAUCAGCAGAGGCCAUGGGGCAUUUAGGCUCCAUGUUUUCACAAUGAUGGGAUCGAGACAGAGGAUAGCCUGGGGGAAGGAUGUAGGUGCUGUCCUCUGAAGGGUAAGAACAAGACCUGCUAUCACAGAAACAUCAUCAUUUUAAGCAACAACUGUAAUAGUUGAUACCCUUUCUGAAAGACGUACUUGGUAGCGGGCACUGUGCCAGGUACCUGGAGAGAGUCGUUCACUGUCCAAUUGCACGCACGGAGAGACAGGAGCACAGAGUCAUCUGUUCAGCCCCACAUUAGUAAACAUGGAAUUGUCGUUCCCCGGUGGGACCUCCCUUUCCUCAGAGGUUGCCUGUCUCUAGGGCCCACACACAGCUGUCCUAAUCACCAGCAAGUAAGACUUGGUUAAAAAUCACACAGGAAAUGCCCCUUGGGGCUCUAAGGUAGCACUGCUCAAGAUUGAGAGGCAGCUCAGUGCCUUGCUUGAAGGAGCGUGGGCCAUCGAGGCUGAAAAGCCACACCCCCGAAAAGCCACGCCCCUAUACACAACACUGUUUUCAGCUGAUUUUGCUACAGAGUAGCAGAUGUUAUUCAAGUGGCUUAGGACUCAAAUCAGCCUCUCAUUAAUGACUUGGCAAUUGGGGAAGCCACAGACAGACCAAGAUGUCUCAUUGUCCCUGUGUCAUCCAGUGUUUCCUACUCCAAUGCUAUCUCACCAUGAAUCAAGAAUUUAAACAGGACUCGCUUUGUGCAGCUUCACUUUCCUUCAUACAGCUAAUGUAAUGUGACCCGGAGGAGCAUUUGUUUCACUUAGACAUGCUCAAAGCAGCUUUUCUUUUGCAACUACAGAAAACACAUAGCAACAGCAUGGAGCCUCACACACCUAGAAGCUUACUUUCUAUCCUUCCUCUGUGUGUGGCUCUGAGGAAGUUACAUGGGUCUCUGUUCCUGUUUCUUCUCUCCAAGGAAAAUGACCGUAGCAGACAGGUGGAACAGGCAGUCACCUUGGAAACUGUGUGUGUGGGAAAGCUUGGUAAGCAGUGAAAUCUGGGCUCUAAAAUUGAAUAUUCCACGAUGAGAACAACACUGGAAUAAAGCGAUCAGGCAAUAACAUUCACCCAGGAUGUCUAGCUAGCUACCUGAGGCCUGGGAAGUGUUCGGGGACCGUAACUGCUGGACAUGAGCCACAAGCUACAGCACAGCAGAGUGCAGCCCUCCAGUGGCCAUUAAGGACAGUCACACAGAGAGCAGAAGAACAGAUCUCUCCUGCACUGCCUCUGAGGGGUAGACGUGGUUGGAGGCUAGAGUUGGGGGGUGUGGUAGAAUGUGUCUGUCCUACUUGUGUAAGACACUGUCCCACCCCAGGAUUGCUCAAAAUGAGUAAGCUACAGAUGAAGAGAAUGAGAAGUCUUGUGAAUCCAACCAAAGUCUGUAUUUAA